rfam:Fibrobacter sp. TWP2 genome assembly, contig: Ga0136289_108
UAUUUUUUUUCAAAGCCUUAUGCCGUGAGAAGCUGCAGGGGUUGUGAAAACUGCCCAUGUAAGAGAAUCCCGUGAAAACCGGGAACGGUCCCGCCGCUGUAAGGGUGUACGAAACUGGCAAGAACCAAUGUUUUCGAAUGUGAAGGAGCCAGCUGUAGGAUGAUCCCCGAGUCAGAAGAACUGUGAGGCUGCCAUAGGCAAA